GACGAACGCUGGCGGCGUGCUUAACACAUGCAAGUCGAACGGUAAGGCCCUUGGGGGUACACGAGUGGCGAACGGGUGAGUAACACGUGGGUGAUCUGCCCUGCACUUCGGGAUAAGCCUGGGAAACUGGGUCUAAUACCGGAUAGGACCACUGCCUGCAUGGGUGGUGGUGGAAAGCUUUUGCGGUGUGGGAUGGGCCCGCGGCCUAUCAGCUUGUUGGUGGGGUGAUGGCCUACCAAGGCGACGACGGGUAGCCGGCCUGAGAGGGUGACCGGCCACACUGGGACGGAGAUGCGGCCCAGACUCCUGCGGGAGGCAGCAGUGGGGAAUAUUGCACAAUGGGCGCAAGCCUGAUGCAGCGACGCCGCGUGAGGGAUGACGGCCUUCGGGUUGUAAACCUCUUUCAGCACCGACGAAGCGCAAGUGACGGUAGGUGCAGAAGAAGGACCGGCCAACUACGUGCCAGCAGCCGCCGUAA
rnacentral:rRNA from 1 species